rnacentral:rRNA from 1 species
UACAGAGGUCCCAAGCGUUGUUCGGAUUCACUGGGCGUAAAGGGUGCGUAGGUGGCGGGGUAAGUUUGAUGUGAAAUCUCCGGGCUCAACCCGGAAAAUGCAUUGAAUACUACUCUGCUGGAGGUUUGGAGGGGGGACUGGAAUUCUUGGUGUAGCAGUGAAAUGCGUAGAUAUCAAGAGGAACACCAGUGGCGAAGGCGAGUCCCUGGACAACACCUGACACUGAGGCACGAAAGCUAGGGGAGCAAACAGG